CCUUUCUCACAAACCACACGAAGCCAUACAUUUUCUCUUUUUAAUUUUACUUUCCCAAAUUUUCUCUUUUCCCCUAAAUUUUGUAAAAAAAACCCGAACUUUCCCCUCAUAUUUCUCUUGUCAAUCGCAACCCCCACGUCUCUUCCGCCUGCUCGAUCGCAAGCCCCCGUUCAUUGCAAGUCGCCGCUGAAGACGUUACAUUCGUUCGCUGCUGAAGACGUUAUGUUCGUCCGCUGCUGAAGAUUUGGUGUGUUCGUCCAUCGUCGUUCAGAACAGAAGAAAUCAAAAGACCAAAACCAUCUUAGACAUCAAUGGUCAGUAUCAUCAGGCCUCCAUUGAUUAGACUCUAAAGCUAAGCAAUUGGGUUAAAAGCUAAGUGAUCGUUGAAGGUUGAAGAUUGUAAAGGCAUGCGUUAGAUGAGGUGCGGGUUGAGUUGGCUGAUUUUUUGGGUUCGUACAUAUGAUUGCGACUUAUUUUUUAUUCUGAAGCAAGAAACUUUUUGUUGUAGCUGAUUUUUUGAAUUAUUCAUAUGGAGGGGGUCGAUUGGUAUACUUUUGAGAUUUUGUUGUGGUAACAAUUUUGAAACUUUCUUGAUAGGUUAUUUGUUCAUAUGGGGAUGAUAGGUGAAUUGUUCAUAAGAGUUGAAUUGUUCUGAAACUCUGAUGGAAUUGUAUAUUAGUUUUGUAAAUGAUAGGAAUAUUUGAAAAGUUUCGAAAAUGAUAUGGUUGAAGAUUUUAUAUUUGAUGAA